UACGGAGGGUGCGAGCGUUGUCCGGAAUCACUGGGCGUAAAGGGCGCGUAGGUGGCCUGUGGAAGUCUGCGGUGAAAGCCCGGCGCUCAACGCCGGGUCGGCCGUGGAUACUCUCGGGCUCGAGCUUACUAGAGGCAGAUGGAAUUCCGGGUGUAGCGGUGGAAUGCGUAGAGAUCCGGAAGAACACCGGUGGCGAAGGCGGUCUGCUGGGGUAAUGCUGACACUGGAUGACGCGACAGCGUGGGGAGCAA
rnacentral:rRNA from 1 species